rnacentral:misc_RNA from 1 species
UUAUGUUCAACUUCGUGAUCUCUACGACAAAAUUCGCAUUGGAAUUCUGUUUGUUAAAUUUUGUAUCUUUAUUUAGUUGAGUUUUUUUUUCCCCUCUCAAGUUUCUGUGCUUUUGGUAAAAAUGGAGGCUAAGAUAAGAGGAAAGUCUCAUAAUUUCUAUGGUCCAGUGGUGUCGGAUUUGAAGGCUGUUGGGAAAAAGAGUUUGGAAUGGGACUUAAAUGACUGGAAAUGGGACGGCGAUCUCUUUUCAGCUACUCCAUUGAAUUCCGUACCAUCAGAUUGUAGGAGUAGGCAGUUGUUCCCUGUUGGACCUGAAAUUCCAGCUAAUGGAGGGUUAUUCAACGGUUCAGCUUCUUGUUCUGAUAAUAAUGACUUGGGAUUAGAGAAAGAAAAGAGAGAAUUGGAGAAGAGAAGGAGGGUCGUUCUUGUUGAAGAUGAAGAUUUUACUGACGAGGCUGCUGGGUCCCUUAAUUUGAAGCUUGGUGGUCAAGCCUAUCCAAUCCUGGAUGAAGAUGCCAAAAGUGGAAAGAAGACAAAAUUUACUGGGACUGCUUCAAAUCGUGCGGUCUGUCAGGUGGAGGAUUGUAGGGCUGACCUCACCAAUGCCAAGGAUUAUCACCGACGGCAUAAGGUUUGCGAUAUGCAUUCCAAGGCCAGUAAAGCACUGGUGGGAAAUGUUAUGCAGAGGUUUUGCCAGCAAUGUAGCAGGUUUCAUGUUCUUCAAGAGUUUGAUGAAGGGAAAAGAAGCUGUCGUCGGCGUUUGGCUGGCCAUAACAAGCGGAGGAGGAAGACACAUCCUGAAAAUGUAGUCAGUGGAGGUUCCUUGAAUGAUGAAAACGGUAGUGGCUACCUAUUGAUAAGUCUACUUAGAAUUCUUUCCAAUUUGCAUUCAAAUAGCUCUGAUCAAACAAAGGAUCAGGAUCUUCUUUCUCAUCUAUUAAGGAACCUGGCCAAUAUUGCUGGUACAACUAGUGGAAGGAGCAUAUCUGGAUUGUUGCAAGAAUCUCAAGGUCGGGUAAAUGCUGGAACUACUUUUGGGGCUCUUGAAAAAGUGCCAGAUAUGAUUACAAAUGGUUCUGAAUCUACCAGGCCUUCUACUUCAGCUUCUAAGAAAGAUGAUUGCACUAAUUCUCAGGACAUUAUGAGGCCUUUGGGCCAAUGUGGGACUGUACCUGUUUCUGAUUUGGCGCAGAAAAGAAUAUUCAACAAUGAUUUCCAGGGUGAAACUCCACAAGCCAUAUCAUGUUUGCAGUCCACAGCAUUGUUCCCGUUAAGAUGCAACCUUCCAACCAAAGUAAAUGAACCAGCAGAUGUAGUUGGGAGAAUCAAGUACAAUAACAUUGACUUGAAUAAUGUUUAUGAUGGUUCGCAAGACUGUACAGGGAACCUAGAUAUGUCUGUUGCCCCUGUAAAUCCAGUGACAGGGUCUGUCAAUUGCCCUUUAUGGGUACAGUCAGACUUCCAUAAAAAAAGUCCACCACAGAUGAGUGGAAACUCAGAUUCAACGUCUUCCCAGUCACCAUCGAGUUCCAAUGGAGAGGCACAGAGUCGCACGGAUCGAAUUGUUUUUAAACUCUUUGGAAAAGACCCAAAUGAUUUUCCUGUUGCUCUGCGUACACAGAUCCUUGAUUGGUUAUCUCACAGUCCCACUGACAUUGAGAGCUAUAUAAGGCCUGGCUGUAUCAUAUUAACAAUAUAUCUUCGCCUGGGAAAGCCUCAAUGGGAGGAGAUCUGCCUUAAUUUGGGCACCAGUUUGAGUAAGCUUCUUAAUGCAUCUACUGACUCUUUUUGGAGAUCGGGAUGGGUUUAUGCUAGGGUGCGGCAUUGUCUAUCCUUUGUUUACAAUGGUCAAGUUGUUUUAGACACGCCCUUACCUCUAAAGAGCCAUAAAAAUUGCAGGAUCUUAAGCAUCAAACCUGUUGCAGUGUCUUUAUCUGAGGGAACUCAUUUUGUAGUCAAGGGUGUCAACAUUUCUCGACCUACCACUAGGUUGCUGUGUGCUCUAGAAGGAAAAUAUCUGGUCCAGGAAAAUUCUUGUGACUUAAUGGAUGGUGCAGAUGCAAACAAUGAUCAUGAGAAGAUUCAAUGCCUUGGCUUUCCUUGCUCUAUACCAAACAUAACUGGAAGAGGCUUCAUUGAGGUGGAGGAUCAUGGCCUUAGCAGCAGCUUCUUUCCAUUUAUAGUUGCUGAGCAAGAAGUGUGUUCGGAGAUCCGUGUGCUGGAGGAAGCAAUUGAGGUCAUUGAGACUGUUGAUGACUUUCGUAAAAAUGCUGAGAGCAUAGAAGCCAAGAAUCAAGCACUAGACUUUAUACAUGAAAUGGGUUGGCUUCUACAUAGAAGUCAGUUGAAGUUUAGGCUAGGUCACUUGGAUCCCAACUCAGAUCUCUUCCCUUUGAAACGGUGCAAGUGGCUUAUAGAAUUCUCAAUCAAUCAUGAUUGGUGUGCUGUGGUGAAGAAACUCCUGGUCAUUCUGUUUGAUGGAACAGUAGAUACGGGGGAACAUUCAUCAAUUGAGCUUGCAUUGUUAGAUAUGAAUCUGCUUCAUCAAGCUGUGCGGAGAAAUUGCAGACCUAUGGUGGAAUUACUACUAAAAUUUGUCCCAGAUAAACAAUUUGGUAGACGAGGACCAGAGCAAAAGCAUGGUGUGGAUGGGGAAAAUAACAACUUCAUAUUUAAGCCUGAUGUUGUUGGGCCAGCUGGGUUGACUCCUCUCCAUGUUGCAGCUAGUAAAGAUGGCUCUGAGAAUGUCUUGGAUGCCUUGACGGAUGAUCCUGGAUCGGUGGGAAUUGAGGCAUGGAGAACAGCUCGUGACAGUACAGGUUUGACACCUAACGAUUAUGCAUGCCUGCGAGGCUACUACUCUUACAUCCAUCUAGUCCAGAGGAAAAUCAAUAAGAAAUCAGAAAAUGGGUAUGUAGUGCUUGAUAUCCCUAAAGCCCUCUUAGAUUGCAACACUAAGCAGAAAGAUGAGCUCAAAUCAUCGAAAAUUGCUGGCUUGGAAAUUGGGAAGAUCAAGAUGAACACGAUGCAGCAGCAUUGCAAGUUAUGCGAACUGAAGCUGGCUUGUGGCCAAACAAGAACUUCAUUGGUGUACAGGCCGGCAAUGCUGUCAAUGGUUGCCAUUGCAGCUGUUUGUGUGUGUGUGGCUCUGCUCUUCAAGAGCUCUCCUGAAGUUCUAUAUGUGUUCCAGCCCUUCAGGUGGGAGUUGCUCAAGUAUGGGUCAAGCUGAGAUGGAUCUGUGUACUAAAUUUCCCAGCACUAGGCUAGGUUGGACCUUUUUUUAUUUUAUUCUUCUUUCAUUUUUCCCAGGAAAAUAACGUAGAAGUCCUGAUGAUGUGUAUAUGCAUUAAAAAUAGUUAAUUUAUAUUAGUAGUAUGGUAGGAAAUAUUAUACUGCUAAGUUGUGUAAUAAAUUUCUUUUAACUUUUU